rfam:Yersinia ruckeri strain 37551 YRO1b0000016, whole genome shotgun sequence.
CGGCUUAAUAAGCCUGCAUGAAAUGCCAACUUUUAGCGCACGGCUCUAUCCCAAGAGCCAUUUCCCUGGACCGAAUAUAGGAUUCGUAUUCGGUCUUUUUUU